rnacentral:ncRNA from 1 species
AAAAGACUUAGUCCUAACCUUGCUGUUAACUAGUGCUAAACAUAUACAUGCAAGUAUCCGCGCCCCAGUGUAAAUGCCCUUAAUUUCUUACCAAGAUGACAGGAGCAGGCAUCAGGCACACUUACUCAAUGUAGCCCAAGACGCCUUGCUUAGCCACACCCCCACGGGUACUCAGCAGUAAUUAACAUUAAGCAAUGAGUGUAAACUUGACUUAGCUAUAGCACUCACCCAGGGUUGGUAAAUCUUGUGCCAGCCACCGCGGUCAUACAAGAAACCCAAGCUAACAGCACACGGCGUAAAGAGCGGGUUCUUACCUAUCUAAAUAAUUAGGAUUAAAUCGCAACUAAGCUGUCAUACGCCCAAGAUGCGUCUAAAUCUACCCUUAAAAUGAUCCUAACCCUCCCGAUCAACUAACCCCCGCGAAAGCCAGGGCUCAAACUGGGAUUAGAUACCCCACUAUGCCUGGCCCUAAAUCUUGAUACUUACUUUACAAAAGUAUCCGCCCGAGAACUACGAGCACAAACGCUUAAAACUCUAAGGACUUGGCGGUGCCCCAAACCCACCUAGAGGAGCCUGUUCUAUAAUCGAUAAUCCACGCUACACCCAACCACCCCUCGCCCAAGCAGCCUACAUACCGCCGUCGCCAGCCCACCUCCUCUGAGAGCUCAACAGUGGGCCCAAUAGCCUCACCCGCUAAAAAGACAGGUCAAGGUAUAGCCUACGGAGUGGAAGAAAUGGGCUACAUUUUCUAAGAUAGAAAAUCUAUACGAAAGAAGGCAUGAAAUAGCCUCCGGAAGGCGGAUUUAGCAGUAAAAUGGGAUAAUAAAGCCCUAUUUAAGCUGGCCCUGAGGCACGUACAUACCGCCCGUCACCCUCCUCGUAGGCCAUAAACCCCAUAACUAAUAGCCUAUACUGCCAAAGAUGAGGUAAGUCGUAACAAGGUAAGUGUACCGGAAGGUGCACUUAGCAUACC